GUUUCGGAAAAUUGAAAAACACUAAAAAGCUGAUCAUGAUUUUCCAUUUCUACUGUGAGUUAAUUGAAUGCAGAGUGGGGCAGUUUUUAUAUGUUUUUGAUGUUGCUACUUCCGAAUUGUGUUCAAGAUGAAAGAUUCAAAAUAGCAGAUAAAAAAUAUUUUACACUCACAAAACAAUAACAUAUUUUUGCAUAAAAGUUUGAUAUCAAAUCUAUAGAAUUGAAAAAAUCGGAUGCAAACUGCAAAAAACAAAUAGGAUUAUUGGCUACUGAGGAACAUCUUUGAUAAUUGAUGUCUUUUUCCUAGAUUGUGACGAUAAUAGCAGUACAAAUGAAAUGAUUUAUGCGACACAUUGGACCCGAUGAAUGCGCGAGAUCGAGGUCGCGAUUUACUAUAUAAUAUUCACGCACCGCUUAAUGACACUGAUUAUUAGCGUCCGUUGUAAAUCGUCAGUUAUGAACGGUACACUGGAGAACGCAGAGGAUGCCCUUAACGAUCAAUAAUGGAAACCAUCGAAAAGCUCGCUCGUAUUGCUCGUUAGUACAAACCUUGAUCACGUGAAAUCACGAUUCUGUUUAAUGA